rnacentral:antisense_RNA from 1 species
CACCCAAGUCACAGCUGACUCAUGCCACUGCUCUUUGUAAUGAGAUUCUGAACCUGCCACCAGCUCCUUUGGUGUAGUGUGAGCGAAGGAAAGAUUCUUGGGUAGAACUUCAUAAAGUCUGUCAUAAGAUCAGCCCCAGAGGAGGAGACUUUUCAGAUCCCAUCCCUCAUACAUAUUCAGAAGGCCAAGGAAACACCCUCAGGAUUGAACUAUGAUAAAGAAGGCUUUUGGACUUGGACCUCAUCCAAGGAGCUGGCUGCCUGCACUUUCACAGACCGUCAGCUUCAUCCCCAGGCCCCAAAUCCUGAAUUUGCCCUAUGUCAAUGAAAAACCAUCAUCAGCUUUUCUUUACAUUAAAAACUGAUUGUGAUCAUAGCAGUUUUUCCUGUUUUCUGGGAUCACUGCUGCAAAGAGGAAAAGUCACAAGAGGAUAAAAUGACACACACGCAAACUCUUCUGUGGCUGAAAUUCCCCUCACUCUUCCUGCCUCUAACCAAAAAGGAGGAUACAGACCAAGGAGCACUUCAUGAAGGUAGUCGCCUCCCUGCCCUGCUGUUUUUCACCUUCAAGAAGAAUCACUCCCUCCCAAGUAGGACCUCUCCCUGGUCACUAUAAUCCCAUGAUUUGUAAUGUGGGCUUCAUUCUGCAAAAGCCCAGGGCUGGUGUUAUCUAGGAGUGAUGGCAGUCAUUUCCAGAUCAUGAGCAGUCGCACAGAUAAGGCAAAGGGCAACUCCUGCCUAGCAUGUGUGACCCAAGAGAUGACAGAGAAGAGAAGGGAGGAAUGCACUCCUUCACCUGGUCCCUCAGCACUGAGCCAGCCUCCCAUUUGUACAUGGAAGGA